CGCAGAUUGCCGGAAUUACCUAGGAUAAAGGCACAUAUAACAAAGAAACCUUAAAGAACAGAAUCAAGUUGAUGAUUCACGCAAUUCUUCACUUUCAGAAAGCAUCGAGAGGUGCCAAUGGAAGAAACGCUGAAAUCGAAGCGUUUCUGGGUGGUCAAACACUUCCUGCCACCGCCUUGGCCAUAUCCGUGGUGGCGUCAGUAGCGAAUGGCGCGAAUGUGGUGAGUUUUGUAGGCCACUUCUACGCACACGGAUUUCACACCGCAUGGGUUGUGGCUGGCACCUUAGUUGCAUCGACACUGACCGUGACAGCAGUAGUGCCUCUGCUCUACGGGCUACGGGUUGCCUCGAUUUUUCAGUACCUCCGUCUGCGUUUUGACAACAAGGUCGGGAUCACAGCGUGCCUUGUCUACUUUGUCCUGAGCCAAACGCUUGGUGCAGUGAGCAUAUACAGCGCUGCUCUUGG